rnacentral:rRNA from 1 species
UCUGCGGAAAGUAGCUUGCUACUUUGCCGGCGAGCGGCGGACGGGUGAGUAAUGUCUGGGGAUCUGCCUGAUGGAGGGGGAUAACUACUGGAAACGGUAGCUAAUACCGCAUAACCUCGCAAGAGCAAAGUGGGGGACCUUCGGGCCUCACGCCAUCGGAUGAACCCAGAUGGGAUUAGCUAGUAGGUGGGGUAAUGGCUCACCUAGGCGACGAUCCCUAGCUGGUCUGAGAGGAUGACCAGCCACACUGGAACUGAGACACGGUCCAGACUCCUACGGGAGGCAGCAGUGGGGAAUAUUGCACAAUGGGCGCAAGCCUGAUGCAGCCAUGCCGCGUGUGUGAAGAAGGCCUUCGGGUGAAAGCACUCAUCACCCCACGACAAGA